rnacentral:rRNA from 1 species
UACUGCCACCGAAUACAUUAGCAUGGGAUAAUGGAAUAGGACCCUGUCCUUCAUGUUUCGCGUUGGUUGUGCCACGUGCGUGCGCUUCGCGGUGCGCGCGCGUGGCAUGGUUUCGUCUAAAGGAGGACCAGGGUAAUGAUUAAUAGGGAUAGUUGGGGGCAUUAAUAUUUAAUUGUCAAAGGUGAAAUUCUUGGAUUUAUGAAAGAUUAACUUCUGCGAAAGCAUCUGCCAAGGAUGUUUUCAUUAAUCAAGAACGAAAGUUAGGGGAUCGAAAACGAUUAGAUACCGUCGUAGUCUUAACCAUAAACCA